GACGAACGCUGGCGGCGUGCUUAACACAUGCAAGUCGAACGGAAAGGCCCUGCUUUUGUGGGGUGCUCGAGUUGCGAACGGGUGAGUAACACGUGAGUAACCUGCCCUUGACUUUGGGAUAACUUCAGAAAACUGGGGCUAAUACCGGAUAGGAGCUCCUGCUGCAUGGUGGGGGUUGGAAAGUUUCGGCGGUUGGGGAUGGACUGGCGGCUUAUCAGCUUGUUGGUGGGGUAGUGGCUUACCAAGGCUUUGACGGGUAGCCGGGCUGAGAGGGGGACCGGCCAAAUCGGAAUGGAAAUACGACACAGACCCGAACGGGAGGCAGCAGUGGAGAAGAGUGUACUAGAGACGGAAGGCUAACGCAGCAACGCCGCGUGCGGGAUGACGGGCUUCGGGUUGUAAACCACAGUCGCCUGUGACGAGGCGUUAGUGACGGUAAUGGGUGAAGAAGCACCGGCUAACUACGUG
rnacentral:rRNA from 1 species